rnacentral:ncRNA from 1 species
GAAUGUCGGCUUGAGUAACGCAAACAUUGGUGAGAAUCCAAUGCCCUGAAAACCUAAGGGUUCCUCCACAAGGUUCAUCCACGGAGGGUGAGUCAGGGCCUAAGAUCAAGCCGAAAGUCGUAGUUGAUGGACAAUAGGUUAAUAUUCCUGUACUACCCCUUGUUGGUCCCGAGGGAUGGAGGAGGCUAGGUUAGAUGAAAGAUGGUUAUCGGUUCAAGGAUGCAAGGUGACCCUUCUUUUUUCAGGGUAAGAAGGGGUAGAGAAAAUGCCUCGAGCCAAUGUACGAGUACCAAGCGCUACAACACUAAAGUAACCCAUGUCAUACUCCCAGGAAAAGCUCGAACGACCUUUAAAAAAUGGGUACCUAUACCCGAAACCGACACAGGUAAGUAGGUAGAGAAUACCUAGGGGCGCGAGACAACUCUCUCUAAGGAACUCGACAAAAUAGCCCCGUAACUUCGAGAGAAGGGGUGCCUCCUCAGGAGGUCACAGUGACCAGGCCCGAGCAACUGUUUACCAAAAACACAGGUCUCCGCAAAGUCGUAAGACCAUGUAUGGGGGUUGACGCCUGCCCAGUGCCAGAAGGUUAAGGAAGUUGGUGACCUGAUGACGGGGAAGCCAGCGACCGAAGCCCCGGUGAACGACGACUGUAACUAUAACGGUCCUAAGGUAGAGAAAUUCCUUGUCGGGUAAGUUCCGAACCACACGAAAGGCGUAACGAUCUAGGCACUGUCUCGAAGAGAGACUUGGUGAAAUAGACAUGUCUGUGAAGAUGCGGACUACCUUCACCUGGAUAGAAAGACCCUAUGAAGCUUUACUAUUCCCUGGGAUUGUCUUUGGGUUCUUCUUGUACAGCUUGGGUGGAAGGCGAAGAAGGCUCCCUCUCGGGGGGGCUUGAGUCACUAGUGAGAUACCACUCUGGAAGAUCUAGAAUUAUAACCUUGUGUUAGGACCUACGGGCCAAGGGAAAGUCUCAGGUAGAUAGUUUCUAUGGGGCGUAGUCCUUCCAAAAGGUAAUGGAGGCGUGCAAAGGUUUCCUCAGGCCAGACGGAAAUCGGCCCUCGAGUGCAAAGACAGAAGGGAGAUUGAUUGCAAGACCCACCCGUCAAGCAGGGAUGAAAGUUGACCUUAGUGAUCCAACAGUGCCAACUGGAAGGGCCGUCGCUCAAUGGAUAAAAGUUACUCUAGGGAUAAUAGGCUGAUCUUCACCAAGAGUUCACAUCGACGAGAAGGUUUGGCACCUCGAUGUCGGCUCUUUGCCACCUGGGGUGAUAGUAUGUUCUAAGGGUUGGGUUGUUCACCCAUUAAAGCGGUAC